rnacentral:rRNA from 1 species
GGACUACUGGGGUUUCUAAUCCCGUUCGCUCCCCUGGCUUUCGUGUCUCAGCGUCAGCACACUCCCAGCUACCUGUUUUCACCAUUGGCGUUCCAAAUGAUAUCUACGCAUUUCACCGCUCCACCAUUUGUUCCGGUAGCCCCUAAGUGGCUCAAGACGACCAGUAUACCCAGCAGUUCCACGGGUAAGCCGUGGGAUUUCACAAGGUACUUAGAAGUCCGCCUACACACGCUUUAAGCCCAGUGAUUCCGCCUAACGCUCGAGGCCUCUGUAUUACCGCGGCUGCUGGCAC